rnacentral:misc_RNA from 1 species
AUAAAAUUCUUCUCAACAAAUUUUAUAUUUAUACAUUUAAAAUUAUGUUGCGAAUGUCUUAGGUUUUCUAUUAAAUUCAUCGUUGAGCGGAAUAAAAUAGAUACCAAAUUUAACUUUGAUCGGCCAUCUUAUGUGUUACCCGUAGGUUAGCACGUUCCGGCCUUUAUGUUAAGUACAACAUUUACUUUUAAAUGUACAAAAUUUUUGAGCGUACAACCACCACUCGCGGUGAUGGUUUUCUGCCCUCCGUCAAUUCCUAUAUGCCAUAUGCAUAUAUGACCUACCAAUCGUGUGGUAGCGAACAUAUUAUACAUAAUUCCGUCAAUUCCUUUUGUUUUUAUUGCAUGCAUAUAUUAUGAUUUUGAUUAUAUAUAAUUAAAAUUAUAUAUAACAUUUCUUUUAAAUUUGGAUAGGAAACAUCUUUAAUGAUCCUUCUUCUAUGCAUAUGCAUAUAUGACCUACCAAUCGUGUGGUAGCGAACAUAUUAUACAUAAUUCCGUCAAUUCCUUUUGUUUUUAUUGCAUGCACAUAUUAUGAUUUUGAUUAUAUAUAAUUAAAAUUAUAUAUAACAUUUCUUUUAAAUUUGGAUAGGAAACAUCUUUAAUGAUCCUUCUUCUAUGCAUAUGCAUAUAUGACCUACCAAUCGUGUGGUGGUAGCGAACAUAUUAUACAUAAUUCCGUCAAUUCCUUUUGUUUUUAUUUGCAUAUGUUAUGAUUUUGAUUAUAUAUAAUUAUAAAUUAUAUAUAACAUUUCUUUUAAAUUUGGAUAGGAAACAUCUUUAAUGAUCCUUCUUCUAUGCAUAUGCAUAUAUGAUCUACCAAUCGUGUGGUAGCGAACAUAUUAUACAUAAUUCCGUCAAUUCCUUUUGUUUUUAUUUGCAUAUGUUAUGAUUUUGAUUAUAUAUAAUUAUAAAUUAUAUAUAACAUUUCUUUUAAAUUUGGAUAGGAAACAUCUUUAAUGAUCCUUCCGCAGGUUCACCUACGGAAACCUUGUUACGACUUUUACUUCC